rnacentral:lncRNA from 1 species
GAAGUUCAACAUGAGCAGGGGCCUUUUCCUAAGCGUUGAAGUCCGGGAGGAGCUGGACUGUCACGUGCACUCAAAGAGACUCCAGCACGAGCAGGGCUUACCCCUCACCCCCCAGAAACCCCACACAGCUCCUCUGCCUCCAGCUCCACAAACCCCCAUCCUGGGGGAGCCAUUGCUGGGGGAGCGGGACACCAAGCGGCAAUGGGAAUUCAACACAGAUCGGCCCAAAUGUGGAUUUACAGCAAAGGUCCCAACGCCCCUGAGAUCCGAUGCCGGCCCUCAGCAUGCCCAGGAGAUCCAGGAACCAUGUGUGUGCCUCUCGGGAUCCCUGCCCCAAAAGGCCCACAGGAUCAUGGCAUCCCCUGAUGCCAUAAUGGCAAGGCUUGUGCCCACGGCGGUGGUCAAGCUGCAGGAGCACGUGGCUCAGAAAUGCCUGGAGAUCCAAAUGAAGGCGUUUCCUAAGAUGGUGGGAGAGUCGCACAGAGAUUCUCCCCUCGUGAGAGAGACUGCCCUGCCUGGGCCACUCCGCCCCCCUAGGGAGCCAGGCAAGCCCAGGACAGCGGCAUUGCCAACGAUGGGACAACAGCCUGCCCACCCCAUCGAACUCCACAUAAGGCGUAAGCAUCUCGUCAUGCAGUGGGGGCUGCUCACCCUGGACCCAGAGCCCCCGGCAAAGGUGCCUCACACCGUCCCAGCCAAGGGAGCUGGGGUGGAAUUCAGUGAGAUGGAGACCGAUUUCCUGCUUGAUGAGGUCAGGGAGAAGUUGGACUGGCACACGCAGUGGAAGAAGCUGCAGCAGGAGUGGGGUUUGCCGGAUGCCCAGUGGAAAUCCCUGCGGACUUUCCUACCCCCGGUUCCCAAGCUGUCCUCCCUGAAGGCAAAGCCCGAGGUUGAGGUGGUUCCCAUCCUUGUGGAGCUGCUCUUCCUUGCGAGGGACGUUAAAAAGCAGCUGGAGUUCCACAUUAUAAAGAUGCAAGUGCAGCAAAGAUGGGGACUGCCCAUGAGGAUCCAGGAUUCCCUGAGGAGGUUCAUGUCUCCUUCCCCAGAGGAGAGAGGCCGGCUCUCUCACCCUACCUGCGGGGGCAUCGUGACUCCGUACCGGUCACCGUUUCAGGUGCGUUCCAAGAAGGCUCGGUCUAUUCAGUUCCUCUAAGGGCCCCCUGUCAGAGGUGGCUGGAGGAUGUACAUGCCCUACCCACCAACAGAAGGCAGCAAAUGGCCAGGUCUUACUCCUGGAAGCAUCCUGGGGCAGCAGCUUCGACAGGGAAAGAAACCCCAGACCAUGGCAGCGUAUCGCAGACAGGGAAGCAAAGCACAAGCUCCUCUUGUUCCACACGUCCUCCAACGCCAGUGGAAGAUACCACCAUGGAGAUGGGCAGGAGUGAGAGUGCGGAAGGAAACCAGGCUAACCCAGAUCGCUGCACUCUGCCAGCAGGGGUGGAUCUGACAUCGCCCCCUCCAGAAACCGCAGGAACAGAGAAGUUGAUCGCAGCGACACUCCACAUUUAUGGGAGUGAGUUGAGAAAGCCCCUUACCGGUAUGAGCAGCACCAAAGGGACAGAAG